rnacentral:lncRNA from 1 species
GGGAGCGACGGAAUUUUCACAAAAAUUGAUGAAGAAACAAUGAGAUGAGGAAGAAAAAACAGAAGAGAGAAGAAUAGGGCAGCGAGCGGGAGGUGGGGUAGGAUUAAUUGUUUUUAUUUAUUUUUUCUAACUUUAUUUAAUUUUUUUUCUUUUAUUUUUAAUUUUUUAAAUUUAAAAUCCUAUUUUUUUUAUUCUUUUGAUUGUUUACCUAAUUUUUAAUCAUUGUAAUGUUUUUAUUUAUUAUAUUUUAUUUUAAUUAAUGCAAUGCUGAAAAUUUUAAUUUAAUGAAAUAUUUGAUUCUAAAAUUAAAGAGGUUAAUUUGUAUGAAAUAGAAAUGAAAUUUUUAGAGCUCAUUUUAAAACGCCUUAUUAUGAAUGUAGAGUGAAAGCUCUUAAGUGGGAACCACUCCCUUAGAAUCCCC